rnacentral:rRNA from 1 species
AACGAACGCUGGCGGCAUGCCUAACACAUGCAAGUCGAACGAAGUCUUCGGACUUAGUGGCGCACGGGUGCGUAACGCGUGGGAAUCUGCCCUUGGGUGCGGAAUAACUUCUCGAAAGGGAUGCUAAUACCGCAUAAUGUCGUAAGACCAAAGAUUUAUCGCCCAAGGAUGAGCCCGCGUAAGAUUAGCUAGUUGGUGGGGUAAAAGCCUACCAAGGCGACGAUCUUUAGCUGGUCUGAGAGGAUGAUCAGCCACACUGGGACUGAGACACGGCCCAGACUCCUACGGGAGGCAGCAGUGGGGAAUAUUGGACAAUGGGCGAAAGCCUGAUCCAGCAAUGCCGCGUGAGUGAUGAAGGCCCUAGGGUUGUAAAGACUCUUUUACCUAGGGGAUGAUAAUGACAGUACCUGGAGGAAUAAGACUCCGGCUAACU